UUAAGCGACUAAGCGUACACGGUGGAUGCCCUGGCAGUCAGAGGCGAUGAAGGACGUGCUAAUCUGCGAAAAGCGUCGGUAAGGUGAUAUGAACCGUUAUAACCGGCGAUGUCCGAAUGGGGAAACCCAGUGCAAUUCGUUGCACUAUCGUUAACUGAAUACAUAGGUUAACGAGGCGAACCGGGGGAACUGAAACAUCUAAGUACCCCGAGGAAAAGAAAUCAACCGAGAUUCCCCCAGUAGCGGCGAGCGAACGGGGAGCAGCCCAGAGUCUGAAUCAGCUUGUGUGUUAGUGGAACGGUCUGGAAAGUCCGACGGUACAGGGUGAUAGUCCCGUACACCAAAAUGCACAGGUUGUGAACUCGAAGAGUAGGGCGGGACACGUGGUAUCCUGUCUGAAUAUGGGGGGACCAUCCUCCAAGGCUAAAUACUCCUGACUGACCGAUAGUGAACCAGUACCGUGAGGGAAAGGCGAAAAGAACCCCGGCGAGGGGAGUGAAAAAGAACCUGAAACCGUGUACGUACAAGCAGUGGGAGCACCUUCGGGUGUGACUGCGUACCUUUUGUAUAAUGGGUCAGCGACUUAUAUUCUGUAGCAAGGUUAACCGUAUAGGGGAGCCGCAGGGAAACCGAGUCUUAACUGGGCGUUAAGUUGCAGGGUAUAGACCCGAAACCCGGUGAUCUAGCCAUGGGCAGGUUGAAGGUUGGGUAACACUAACUGGAGGACCGAACCGACUAAUGUUGAAAAAUUAGCGGAUGACUUGUGGCUGGGGGUGAAAGGCCAAUCAAACCGGGAGAUAGCUGGUUCUCCCCGAAAGCUAUUUAGGUAGCGCCUCGUGAAUUCAUCUUCGGGGGUAGAGCACUGUUUCGGCUAGGGGGUCAUCCCGACUUACCAACCCGAUGCAAACUACGAAUACCGAAGAAUGUUAUCACGGGAGACACACGGCGGGUGCUAACGUCCGUCGUGAAGAGGGAAACAACCCAGACCGCCAGCUAAGGUCCCAAAGUCAUGGUUAAGUGGGAAACGAUGUGGGAAGGCACAGACAGCCAGGAUGUUGGCUUAGAAGCAGCCAUCAUUUAAAGAAAGCGUAAUAGCUCACUGGUCGAGUCGGCCUGCGCGGAAGAUGUAACGGGGCUAAACCAUGCACCGAAGCUGCGGCAGCGACACUAUGUGUUGUUGGGUAGGGGAGCGUUCUGUAAGCCUGCGAAGGUGACCUGUGAGGCAUGCUGGAGGUAUCAGAAGUGCGAAUGCUGACAUAAGUAACGAUAAAGCGGGUGAAAAGCCCGCUCGCCGGAAGACCAAGGGUUCCUGUCCAACGUUAAUCGGGGCAGGGUGAGUCGACCCCUAAGGCGAGGCCGAAAGGCGUAGUCGAUGGGAAACAGGUUAAUAUUCCUGUACUUGGUGUUACUGCGAAGGGGGGACGGAGAAGGCUAUGUUAGCCGGGCGACGGUUGUCCCGGUUUAAGCAUGUAGGCUGGUUGUCCAGGCAAAUCCGGAUAAUCAAGGCUGAGGUGUGAUGACGAGGCACUACGGUGCUGAAGUAACAAAUGCCCUGCUUCCAGGAAAAGCCUCUAAGCAUCAGGUAACAUUAAAUCGUACCCCAAACCGACACAGGUGGUCAGGUAGAGAAUACCAAGGCGCUUGAGAGAACUCGGGUGAAGGAACUAGGCAAAAUGGUGCCGUAACUUCGGGAGAAGGCACGCUGGUGUGUAGGUGAAGUCCCUGCGGAUGGAGCUGAGACCAGUCGAAGAUACCAGCUGGCUGCAACUGUUUAUUAAAAACACAGCACUGUGCAAACACGAAAGUGGACGUAUACGGUGUGACGCCUGCCCGGUGCCGGAAGGUUAAUUGAUGGGGUUAUCCGUAAGGAGAAGCUCUUGAUCGAAGCCCCGGUAAACGGCGGCCGUAACUAUAACGGUCCUAAGGUAGCGAAAUUCCUUGUCGGGUAAGUUCCGACCUGCACGAAUGGCGUAAUGAUGGCCAGGCUGUCUCCACCCGAGACUCAGUGAAAUUGAACUCGCUGUGAAGAUGCAGUGUACCCGCGGCAAGACGGAAAGACCCCGUGAACCUUUACUAUAGCUUGACACUGAACAUUGAGCCUUGAUGUGUAGGAUAGGUGGGAGGCUUUGAAGCGUGGACGCCAGUCUGCGUGGAGCCAACCUUGAAAUACCACCCUUUAAUGUUUGAUGUUCUAACGUUGGCCCCUUACCGGGGUUGCGGACAGUGUCUGGUGGGUAGUUUGACUGGGGCGGUCUCCUCCCAAAGCGUAACGGAGGAGCACGAAGGUUAGCUAAUCCUGGUCGGACAUCAGGAGGUUAGUGCAAUGGCAUAAGCUAGCUUGACUGCGAGCGUGACGGCGCGAGCAGGUGCGAAAGCAGGUCAUAGUGAUCCGGUGGUUCUGAAUGGAAGGGCCAUCGCUCAACGGAUAAAAGGUACUCCGGGGAUAACAGGCUGAUACCGCCCAAGAGUUCAUAUCGACGGCGGUGUUUGGCACCUCGAUGUCGGCUCAUCACAUCCUGGGGCUGAAGUAGGUCCCAAGGGUAUGGCUGUUCGCCAUUUAAAGUGGUACGCGAGCUGGGUUUAGAACGUCGUGAGACAGUUCGGUCCCUAUCUGCCGUGGGCGCUGGAGAAUUGAGGGGGGCUGCUCCUAGUACGAGAGGACCGGAGUGGACGCAUCACUGGUGUUCGGGUUGUCAUGCCAAUGGCACUGCCCGGUAGCUAAAUGCGGAAGAGAUAAGUGCUGAAAGCAUCUAAGCACGAAACUUGCCCCGAGAUGAGUUCUCCCUGAGACUUUAAGUCUCCUGAAGGAACGUUAAAGACGAUGACGUUGAUAGGCCGGGUGUGUAAGCGCAGCGAUGCGUUGAGCUAACCGGUACUAAUGAACCGUGAGGCUUAACCUU
rnacentral:rRNA from 1 species